AGCAUUGAUCUGGAUGAGGGAACUGAUGGAGACAUCAGCUGCAGCGUGAAGAACCACGUCAGUCACGCACAGAAGACCAUUAGAGUCCAACCCUGUCCUGUGUCUGUGGUGUUUGUGCUGGUCUGGUGUCUUCAGCUGAUGGUUCUGUUGGGUCUGUUAGGAGGUUUUCACAUCUACAUGAGACACACGUCAGGAAAGAAGCAGGAAGAUCAGAAAGUGAGGAUGAGAAGAUUUAGAGAAGCACCUGAACACACAG
ensembl:lncRNA